GGAUGACAUCUCGCGAGAGUGAUGAAUGUGCUAACAGGAAUGCAUCCAAUAUCGCGAGAAAAAGGGCCAGCUGGGGCUGACAUGUGGUAAACAGCAGUCUGGCGCUCAAGAAAUAACAGCUUUCAUGGAUUCACCGGUCUUUUCCGCACCAUCUGUGUGUUUGGACAUGGAUACAGACGUAGACAGCUGGAUUGUGAGUAGUGAAUUGAAACAGUGCUGGACCGAAUCCAUAGCUGAGGCAGAGCGCAGCAGGAAUGCACCAGCUGUGAGCCGUACUGCAGUGCCAGGGGACUGUAAAUAAGGACGGACUGAAAGUGCUUCCUGUCGGCAGACAGCAAAGAGGACAUACGGGACUAGAUCUGAGCAGCUCAGAGUCAGGUAGGACCGCAGACUGUCUGUAUGCCAUUAUUCAGAGGGCUAGACGAGGACUUCCUGUCCACCGGUGGCCUGGGAAUGAUAUUGGGUAUUUCACAAUCUAAGGAUGUUUGGCGUCCUGCUAUUCAGCGAGGUGCCAGGGUAGAAGUGAGCUGGGAAAGAUUUGAAAUGAGGCAUUGUAUGUUGAGCACGCUUUCUUUUUCUCUGUGGUUCAUGUCUUCAAGUGCUCUCGUUUUUCAUUCCUCUCCCUUUUU